rnacentral:rRNA from 1 species
CUACGGGUGGCUGCAGUGAGGAAUAUUGCACAAUGGGGGGAACCCUGAUGCAGCAACGCCGCGUGGAGGAUGACGCAUUUCGGUGUGUAAACUCCUUUUAUAUGUCAAGAAAAUGACGGUAGCAUAUGAAUAAGCACCGGCUAACUCCGUGCCAGCAGCCGCGGUAAUACGGAGGGUGCAAGCGUUACUCGGAAUCACUGGGCGUAAAGGACGCGUAGGCGGGUUGGAAAGUCAGGUGUGAAAUCCUACAGCUUAACUGUAGAACUGCACUUGAAACUUCUAAUCUAGAGUAUGGGAGGGGGAGAUGGAAUUAGUGGUGUAGGGGUAACAUCCGUAGAUAUCACUAGGAAUACCUAAAGCGAAGGCGAUCUCCUGGAACAUUACUGACGCUAAGGCGUGAAAGCGUGGGGAGCAAACAGGGUUAGAUACCCGUGUAGUC